AGACAUAGCAAAACAAGUUAGGAAGGAAGAAUGGACAAUAAAAUUUUGCUUGCUCAGCUUUCCAUGUAAAACUACCUACCUGGCAUAAUUAUUGGAUAUGUGAAUUCCACGUAUGCGCCACAUUUCUCGACACAAACUGACUGUAGGGACUACUUAUGAGAACUUUAGGAACACUUUGCGUUAAAAGACCAUAUUUUUAAAGUCCCUUCAAUCUAUGCUUUGCUCAAUUGCCACCAUCAAACUCAGUUACCCCAACAACAACAAAAAACUUAUUAUUUAUUCAGAUAUAAAUUAAUCAAUGGAGAUAUGGUCAGCUCAUAUUCUCCAUUUUGCACAUAACAACCAACCCAGAGGUAAUCAAUUUACUGAGAAUCCAAUACAUGACUCCAGAUGACAUAGUACGUUAGUUAUAAUAGGGAAGGCAAUCGUCAUAACCGCCGGUAUCAUCGUCGAACCUGCAUACCACGUUUGGUAAAAUAUUAAAGAAACAAUCAAUACAUUUGCUCAACGUCUCUCUGGAGUCUGAAGACAACAAAAUCGUGAGAUUCAUUUGGGCCAUUUGAAAAUUGCAGGAAACCUCCGUGUCCACCACCCAGAUGUUUGGGCUUAAAACUGAACUGCGAGGAGGCAUGAGGCCAAGUACUUGAACACCAUAAUCUCUCUCGGGGAUUUGCAGUGAAAGGUAAGGGCCAAGUCUCCACCCAACUCAUUUGUGAUUUUAAUAUGUCUCAUCUUUGGAGGAUCAAGCUGCCCUACAGCACACAUGGUUACUGUGAACCACAAAAGCAGCAUGGGCAACACUACCAUUCCAUUGCACGAAGCCAUGGCUGUUUCUUUGACGAAGUUUUUUUUUUUUUUUUCUUGGGGCAAAACACAAAGGAUAUAAGUCCUUUUUUUAUAGAAGCUAGUCAGGUUCUAUAUGGCCUCACAUUUUUAUAGAAAUAAUGUGGUAGUUAAUGAGGUUCAUAGAAUGUAGAGACAAUUUUCUGAGAAUAAAUGGAAAGCCAACAGGAAAUUACAACUAGUUAUAUUUUUCUUGGUGGUACACGUAGUGCCUGGUUUGCAGCACUAUGGUAAUUGAUGAGGUUCAUAUAACUGGUAUAACCUAGAAGCCAGCCAAUUAAUAUGAAAAAAUUGAAAAAUAUAUUGGCAUGUUGUAAAUGCAUGAGUUGGUGGAUGACCACUAUACCUCUUAAUAUUCCACCGUUGGAUUUUAUGUAACCUAUGCACUAAGUAUUUGUAAUUAAUGCUUGUAACCUAUAGGUAUAUUGUAAAUGAUGGUAUUCAAUCUCCUAUCUUGUAAGCCUAUAAAUAGGUGGUUCUACCAAAGAUUUAGUGGGAAUAAACAUGGUGAAACUUUGUCUUUAGCAUAUCACUUCUCUCUACAUUUUCUCCCUCUAGUUUUAUAACAUGGCAUAAAUUUUGUAAUUGGCAAUUUCCAAGUCAAAAACCUCAUACAAUGUAUUUUAUUUAGUUAUUGCAG
rnacentral:lncRNA from 1 species